AUUCCAGAACGUGUCGUCCAUGCUAGGGGAGCCAGUGCUAAGGGUUUCUUUGAGUGUACCCAUGAUAUUUCUCACCUUACGUGUGCUGAUCUUUUUCGAGCUCCAGGGGUUCAGACACCUGUCAUUGUUCGCUUCUCCACUGUUAUCCAUGAGCGUGGCAGCCCUGAGACACUCAGGGAUCCUCGAGGAUUUGCAGUCAAGUUUUACACCAGAGAGGUGAGGGUCUAUCUCUAAUGCCUUUAUUUUUCUAUAUUUAUCACUAAAAUGUAUUAGAUGAUAGCAUGUAUCCACGUCAUGGCUGCCAGAAUCAUGAAAACAACAUUUAAUCAGUAGAUUUGAUGGAUGUUCUGUUGUGUUACAUAGUUCCCGUGGGAUUCUAGAAGUGCCAAAUAAGAAAUAGGGAAAAUGAGAAUUUUGUAACUCUUUAGAAUUCUUUGUAUAAUCACAUGCGGCUUUAAUUAUAUCUUUCUAAGAUUAUUUCCUGUACUUUUUAUCUUUCAUAUAUUUAUGAAGUUACAUAAUUGUAAGCUAACAAGCUCUUAUUUGUUCUAUUGCUUUACACAUUCUUAUUGUGAUUUUUUCUUGUGAACUCAGGGUAAUUGGGAUCUUCUGGGUAACAGUAUCCCUGUUUUUUUCAUCCGUGAUGCAAUCAAAUUCCCAGAUGUGAUCCAUGCUUUUAAACCUAAUCCAAAGUCUCACAUCCAAGAGUACUGGAGGAUCCUCGACUUCUGCUCCCACCUUCCUGAAAGCUUGUCCACAUUUUCCUGGUUCUUUGAUGAUGUGGGUAUUCCACAAGAUUACAGGCACAUGGAAGGCUUCGGUGUUCAAACUUUUACACUGGUCAAUAAGAAUGGGAAAGUGCACUAUGUGAAAUUCCACUGGAAACCAACUUGUGGAGUUAAGUGUUUGACAGAUGAAGAAGCAAUAAAGGUUGGUGGAUCUAAUCACAGCCACGCUACUCAGGAUCUCUACGACUCAAUUGCAGCUGGAAACUAUCCUGAGUGGAAACUCUACAUUCAGACUAUUGAUCCCGAUCACGAGGACCAAUUUGACUUUGACCCACUGGACGUAACCAAGUGGUGGCCUGAGGACAUCAUCCCUCUGCAGCCAGUUGGACGCUUGGUCUUGAACAAGAACAUCGAUAAUUUCUUUGCGGAAAAUGAAAUGCUUGCAUUUAACCCUGGUAUCGUGGUUCCUGGGAUCUACUACUCAAAUGAUAAGAUGCUCCAAUGUCGAAUCUUUGCCUAUGGUGAUACCCAGAGGCAUCGCCUUGGACCCAACUACUUGAUGCUUCCAGUUAAUGCCCCCAAAUGUCCUCAUCGCAACAAUCAUUAUGAUGGUUUCAUGAAUUUCAUGCACAGGGAUGAGGAGGUACUUAGUUUCUACUUUCCCCCCUGGAAACAAAAUUUAUGAAUCAAAAUAGGUUCGGCACCUAUAAUCUAUCCACAUUUAUCUUAACUUAGAUAAUGGUGCAUGCCUUAAAGAUACAAGUGCCUAGUACAAGUGGAUGGUAUCAGAAUCUAACCUGUUGUGUGCUAGUGUUAUCAAAAAAUGUUCUAAUUGGAUAUUAUGAUGCUUUGUUUUAGGUCGAUUACUUUCCUUCAAGGUAUGAUCCUACUCGUCAUGCUGAGAGAUAUCCCAUUCCUUCUGAUGUAAUUACAGGAAGGCGUGAGAAGGUAAAUUUCUAUACUUGAUAAUUCUUAAAUCUUGAAAUUCUAUUUUCACUUACAUUAGGAGAUGGGUUGGUUCAUAAACAUAAUUGGAAUAUAUUUAUGAAGGCUAAAUUUUCCAAAUCUAUUGGUAAACGUAGGCUUGCAUUGAGAAGGAAAACAACUUCAAGCAGCCUGGAGAGAGAUACCGAUCCUGGGCCCCAGACAGGUAAAUUCAUGUUUGCCCCUAUUUUUCAAUUAAAAUAUAUUUGUGAAAUCAAAACAUUAACCUCUUUGCUACAUUUUUAUUUGGCUUAGGCAAGAGAGGUACCUUAAUCGAUGGAUUAAGGCUUUAUGUGACCCACGUGUCACCCAUGAGGUUCGCAGCAUAUGGGUCUCUUACUGGUCUCAGGUGAGACUCCCUUUCAUUUCAACCUGUUGCAAAUUAUGGCUGCGACCUUGAAAGUUGGAAUUUUUGGUGAUAUUGUUCUCAAAAUUGAAAUAUAUAUGUAGCGUGUAUCAGCUAACUAAUCAUACAUGGUAUUCUUUGCUGGUAUGAAUAUAGGCCGACAGAUCUCUGGGUCAGAAGCUAGCUUCUCGUCUCAAUGUGAGGCCAAGCAUUUGAAGGUGUCACUUGAACUGGAAUACUGGAUGCUUUUGACUUGCCAAGAGUGAGCGAGGAGUGAACACCAAGGGUGCAGCUAUGUGAAGAAUUUCGAUCCUAUGUUUGCUGUUGUAUAUUGUAAUAUAGACAAUAAACUUGCAUGUUAUGUGACUCUUUUCCUGUUGUUUCAAUUAAUAAAAGUCUGUUUUAUGAAGUUCAAUAUCGGAUCUAGAGUUGUUGAAUCAAUGUUUGCUGCUCUGGUUGCCUCAGUCUCCUAAUUAGUGAUCCUCUUCCAGUAGAAAGUUUCGCAAUUGCAAGAGUUUAUUGUAUUGCCAUUGUUUUGCAUCAGAAAACGAAUAGAUAGAUUCUUACUCACUGGUUGAAUGCUUGAACUGUCUUGUUCUGGAGUCUCGAUUGCUUUCAACUUUGUUAUGCUGCAGAUUAGAAUUCUGGAGAUCCGUUAUAAGUUUACCCUGCAAAGUGAUUUCAUUCUACUGUUCGUGAAUUCACAACUCUUCCUGCUCAAAAUUUCAUUUUGCCAUCUAUAGACAAAUGGGGUUUAUCAAGAGUCGUGUCUAGACGACAACUAAACCCUAGAUAUCUACGGUGCGCUCUCACUCUUUUCUUGCGUAGGCAUUCAUAUUAUAUGUUUUUAACUUUUUCAUAUCUGUGCAUUUGUAGUAAUUGAUUUGGUGUGUUUUGUGUUUAAAGUAAUAUUUAGAAGCUGUCAAGCUAGUUACAUAUCAGAAUUUUUUAUUUUUUUAUUUUGGUGGAAAAACUAAUCAAGUGGCAGCUUAAUUGAGUUCAAUACUCAUGAAGAGAUUGACAAAUAUAUAUAUAUUUUUUAAUAUUUUUGAGAAGACCAAAUGAAUGUUUGCAGCUGAACUUUGAAUGACUACAAAAUUUUCCGGACAUGGAUAAUUGCACAAAGACCAAAUUUUGCUUGAUGUAGGUGACGGGGAAAAGGAAAUCAAUAUAGUAAGUGUUCCUAAUUGCUGCUAAACCACUGUAAACAAGAGUUGAGUUAGUGAGAUUUAAAAUAUUGUGCUGGAUUUAACACAUUUCUUGUUUGUAAAAUUGAUUUGUUUAGUUGGGCUAUGAUCUUUUCUACGUCCAUGUCAUUAUUUAACCGUAAAGCAGAGCAGAAUAAUAUAGCAGCGGGGAAAAAUGAGGGAAGACACAUUGCUCUUUUGAUUUUGAAGCAAUGUAAAAUUCCUCCCAUUUGGAGUUCUAGCAAGUUGCAUACCAUAGGACAUAGUGAUUUAUGCAUGUUUGAUUUGGCAUUUCCCAAGUGGCUAUCAGUCAAGAUUUCUUUCUUUCAUUCUGCAGGAGAGAAGCUCCUGACACCUACCAUGGUGCCUUGAGAAGUGAAGGCUUUUGGGAAUUAGUUUGGUUCUGUGUAGAUGAGUUUGCACUGAUACUCAGGAAGUUAUGUUGACCUUCUCUAUAGCAUCAGAAAGGCACAAUGCCAAUAUAUUUCAUUUAGCUUAGAGAUUUGCUAGGAGAGCACAGUUGUUCAUUUGGUCUGUGGUUUUGUUUCAGAUAUACAAACCAAUGCUGCCAGUUUUCCAAAUACAAUUCCUGUGGGUUCAGGUGUUAGCUUUAAAGAAAGUGGAGCAAGGCAAUAACGUGAUGGUUUGUAACUAUCGCUGUUCAUUGGACUUGGUUUUGAUGGACUUCUUGGAACUUGGAUGUGUUUUCUGGUUUAUUUGAAUGAUACUAAUCACAGCAUGAUGAUAAAGAAUCCUCGUUUCUGUGAAAAAAUUAUCAGAAUCAGGAACUUGCUCAAAUCUUCAACAAUCUUUAUAUUCACAAAGCAAUUGUAAAAUUGCUAUGAAUCAUGAAUGGAUAUCAGGGAGGCUUUGUGAAACAAUAACAUGAUCCCAGGCAACAUCGAUUUUUUACCUGUUGGAUUCAUCAUGCUUAGCCACUUGUUUGAAAUAUUUAGAAGCACUCACGAACUCAAUAAGUAUGCCUGGGAACACAAGAAAUGCUCUUGCUUCAGCCUUAUUUGCAGUUCUUCCCAAAUGACAACCCAUUAUCAAACCAUGGACCGAUGCUGGAGGUAAGCUUUCAAUUUAUCCAAAAGUUCCAACAUUUAUGUUAGAUGUUGUGAGUGAAUCAUGUUUGCUUCUGAAUAUCAUAAACUGCGUGAUUGUAAAUAAUUGAAAAUUUUCUUAUAAAACUCCACAUGCUAGAUGAAUGUGCAGCCUAAUCCUACAAAGGCAUCGAUUGACCAUAACAUAUGCCGCAGUUCCCUUCUUACUUCCAUAGAGUCACUUUUCCUGAGGGUAUCCCUUGACCAUUAGGUUCGGAACACCAUUUUACAAGUUUGUAUUUUAUUUGUACUAUGGACCUCAGCUAAACUAGGGUGCAAAACUCGAGAGUAGAGUAUAUAAACUCUAAUAUAAACAUUCUUUUAGGAAGGAAAAUGAAAGGUUGUAGGUAAGGCUUUAGGCCACUAAAUUGUUUGCUUAGCAGUUUCAGCAUAAUACACACACACACAGGUACAUAUAUACACUUUUUUAAUGAUGUGUUGGCAUAUGUAUAUACAGAGUUCUUCUCUUACGAAGAUCUCCUCACAUUAUUAAAUUGAGGAUGUCACAAAUAUACAAAAAAAAUACCGAUUUUACUAUCAGAAUGAUAAAUAUACACACAAAAGAUUCCUUUAUUCUCUUUUGUAUAAUAAACAUUACAUUAUUAUACUAUAUGAUUUAAUCAUUUUUUUGUCUUUUAAUAUAGUUAGGAAAUGUUUAUCAAAUAAGUAAUAUAUAUAUAUAGAUAUAUAUGUGGAGAAAUAACAAGAUUUAGCAACCUCUACAUAGCAUAGUAAAUUUUAUUGAGAAAGAAAUGAAAAGAUCAUUGAUGGGUAGAAGAGAGAGAGAGAGAGAGAGAGGGCGGCGAAGCUGAACUUGAUAAUUGAUUUUUGAUACCCAUUUAAUUUAAGUUUUAAUGAAAACGAAACGCACUCAAUUAGGAAGAUACUAAUAUUCUAAUAGAAGAAUUCGCAAUUUGAAAUUAUUAUUAAUAGAUUAUUUAAAAAUUUAAAAAUAUUAUAAUUACAUAAAGUGGAUUGUAUAGAUGGUUCAACCAAUAAAACAUUAAAACUAUCAGUAAUGCUUGAUGAGACUUUACGGGAAUGUUAUCCACUUUCGCAUCAGAGUUUGAGAGAGGUUUUUGUUAAGCAGAAUAAUUUAUUGAUACACUGAAAAUAGUUUAGACAAUUAAAAAUAAUAUAUAUAUAUAUAUAUAUAUAUAUAUAUGGAAUCAGAUUACGGUGCAACUGUAGUACUGUACUACAGUUACAUUCAGUCGUUGGAUGCACUUAGAUUGGUGGGAUUCAUUAAUAUCCAACGGCUGAAUAUAACUAUAAUAUAAUAACACAAUUACACCACAGAUUUUCCCAUAUAUAUGAAUGUAUAUGAUAAUUUAUCAAUGCUCAGAAAUGAGAAAUGUAUGCAUUUAGAUCCCCCCAAAAAAAACAAAGAAGGUAUGCAUUAAAAAGUGGGUCCAAAAGAAGUCAGUCUUGUGGCAAAGCUCACCUCACCACACGCCCAUUUUACUCUUUGUCAAAAGCGUAAAUUAUACCGUUCACAUUGUAAAUUAGCAGCUUUCAUUUCGCGCACACACUCGCACAGCUCUUCGAGUCUAUCUCUUGACACUUUUCUAAUGAUAUAGCACACGUCUCAAUGCUCUUCUGGAGACGUGGCGUCACCAAGCUGGUCCAUGUCAUCUUCAGCCCAUAAGUGGUUACGAAUUCUUUGUAGUAAACUUCCAAAACACUGGAUAAGGAACCUUGAAAUCCUGACGUUCGCAAAAUAUAUAUAUUUUUAUCUUUCGUCGCCUUAAAAAAGGAUAAUCAUCUCUGUUGUGGGUCCCACUCUUGCCUUGAAAGAAUCAAUAUCGGCGGAGAAUUAAAUUUAAUAUAACAUACCAUCUAAUCCACGAUAUUUUGUCCUAAAUUAUUCAGAAAUGUUUUUUUUAGAUUAUUUUAUAAUAUGAAAAAAAAAAUAGGCAUAACAUUUUAGUUUAUUUUGGCCUGCAAAUAUGUACUAUUCAAGGUCUUGCUCUUUUUCCUACAGCUCAGGUCUUCAGUUUGAAUUUCAAUAUAUGCAUGAUUUAGUAAUAAUAAAAAAUAUUUUUACAUGAAUGAUAAUAAAAUUAAAAAUUCUAGUAGAAAUUGAUAUGACCUAAAUUUAUUGGUUGGAUAAAAAUAUAAAAUAAUAAAAAUAAAUCAUAUUGGUUCAGAGUUAUUUAAUUUAACUAAUUGAAUUAUAUCAUAUUAGUCUGCACAAAAAAAAAUUAUAUAAGAAUUUGUAACUCUAUUAUUAUUAUUUUUUAUUUAACACAUUUGAAAAUAAAAAUAUUUGACAUAUUAUUUUUACUAAGACAUUUAUUAAUAUCGGCCAAUAAACUAAUAUAUAUAGAUUUUUUUAAAGCUUAUAAAUUAAAAAAACCUAUUAAUUAUUCUUUAGAUAUACUAAGAUUAUCCCAAAUACUUUAACUUGAAUGAAGUGAUAAUAUUGAAUGACUACUCUAGGUAUGUAAUAAAUAGCCUUAAAAUGCUAACAAAUAAAUAUCUUACACUUUUCUAAAAUAAAAAGAUAGGAUAAUGUUUGAAAAUUCUAGUAAUAUAGUAAUACUCGUUUUCUAUAAAUGUCUAUUAAACUAAGCUAAUUAGAGACUAGCAUAAUAAAAUUAAAUCUUUUUAUCCUUUUCAUAAGUAAAAAAAUUGAUUGUGCUGUUUCUAUACUAAAAUAAAAAUUAAGUAAUAUAACAUUCUUUUUUUCAGGUUGUUAAGGAUGAAUAAUAUUCUUUAAUUUUAAGUAAACAAGAAUAUAAAUGACUUUUAGUUGUUAUAUUAGAUUAGUUCCCCUAGUUUAUUAUAGUUAGCAUAGAAGGAGAGUGAAUGAAGAUUUUUUAACAUUGUUUUUAUUUUUUUUUUAAGUAGUAUUUAAAGAACCACCAAAAAUAAAAAAUAAAAGAAAGAAUAAUGAUCAAUUUAUACUAAUGGCGAGACGUGAUAUUGGCGAGAAAAUGAACACGUCGAAGCUUGUUUGUCUCAUUACGGAUUUUUCGUGUCGCUAUAGAUAGAAAAACGGGUGAGGCCUCUCUGACAUCUGAGGCUGGCAGAAAUUAGAAGCGCGAGCCACGAGAGUCUGUGUAUAUAAAUAAAUAAUAAGGCAGUAGUAUUGCAUUCGUGAUCACCGGCUUUUGGUUGCCACACAAUCCCCAUUUGUCUACUCUCUCUUUCUUUCUCGUAGUGUAGCUUCUCGUUCAAUCUUUUUUUCUGCUUCCCUCCCGCUAUGGAUCCAUACAAGGUACUAAUCCCAUCUGUCUAUUUGUUUUAACUCUUAAUUCAAUCGAUUGCUUUAUUGAGUUUCCAUCCCAAUAUCUAUAUUUGAUGGGUCAGGCUAUUUUAACUUGAAUUUUUGAAUGAUUGGAAUCUGUUUCGGUUUUCAUCAUCUGCUUUAUUAGAUAUUCAAUUUCUAAAUCAAAGCUAUGAUCUUCCCUUUUUUAUUUUUUUGGUUUGAAAAAUUUUACCGCGUAGUUAGGGUUUCCCCAAUGAUUUUGAGAAGAAGUUUUAAAUCUUUUCGCUUGUAUAUGUUUGGCUUCCAUUUAAAUAAAGAGACUUGUACUAAUAAUCCAAUAUUGUUUGUGUUUUUGUAUCAUGAUGAUACAGUUCCGCCCUGCCAGUUCUUUCAACGCCCCCUUCUUUACCACCAAUUCCGGCGCUCCGGUAUGGAACAACAACUCAUCAAUGACGAUUGGACCUAGAGGUAUCAACACGUUAUUGUUUAUUCACUGUUUUCUGUUUGGUAAUUGAUGUUGUUUAUUGUGCUAGGAGUUAGCAACUUGCCUUUUUCGGUUGUUGGAUUUGUGUUUGACUUAUUUGCCGUUCUCGAAUUAGAUUUAUGUAUAUUAUUCCUCAGCUGUUUUAUUAUUUUUGGUUAUUGCUUCUAUCGCAUAUCAAAGUCUCUGUUAAUUUGGUCAGCGGGGGCCAUUAUCAUCAUCUUUGUCAUUAUUCAUGUAGCCAGUGGAAGUAAAAUAAUCAGAAUAUGUGCUUUGAUGGAAUUAAUAAGUUAGAUCUAUUUUCAAAAGUAUUAAUCUUGAGGUAUAUUUUUUAGUGUCAAUCUACAAAACCAGAAUAUUUUUCCUUUCUCCAUCUGGCUUGGCAGAAAAUUUUAAUUCAUAAUAAGAUUCCUUAUUGGCUAGUCCUUUUUAUUUUUUUGCUUCACUUUGAUGGAUAUGGUUUAAACUUUUUAGUUCAGGGAUUUAAGUUGCUUCAAUUUGACAGGUCCAAUCCUCCUUGAGGAUUAUCAUCUAGUGGAGAAACUUGCAAAUUUUGAUAGGGAGCGGAUUCCAGAACGUGUUGUCCAUGCCAGGGGAGCCAGUGCUAAGGGUUUCUUUGAGGUCACCCAUGAUAUUUCUAACCUUACUUGUGCUGAUUUCCUUCGAGCCCCAGGGGUUCAGACGCCUGUCAUUGUCCGCUUCUCCACUGUUAUCCAUGAGCGUGGCAGCCCUGAAACCCUGAGAGAUCCUCGAGGAUUUGCGGUCAAGUUUUACACCAGAGAGGUGAGGGGCUUAUGUGAUACUUGUUUUAUUACUAAUGUGUAUUAGAUGGUAUGGUAUAUGUGGGGGUUCAUGGAGAUGAUCGUUUAGUUACAAAUGAUGCAUGUAUUUAGGGCAUAGGUACUUGUCGCUUUAAGUUGCUUUUGCAGAAAGAACAGGAGAUUUUUUUCUAUUUUGAUUAUGAUGCUUCAAAAAUUUUAUAAUUGUAAUGGUGAAAUAGGGAAAAUAAGAGUUCUUCAAUUGCUUCGGCAGAUUUUCCCAUGUGAUGUGGUUGCCAUAACAACUUUUCAUGUGUCUCCAAUCGUAUGUAAAUAUGUAAUCACUUAGUCAUGAAGGCUGCAUAGGUUCAGCAUUUCAUGUGUUUUAAGUCAUCUGAUAUUUUAUGACUCCAUUAAGGUGGACAAGUUGUAGGCUGUCAAGAAGUUAGCUCCCCUACUUGUUGAUAGGUUCUUACGCUGACCUUUUUGUCAUGUGAGUGCAGGGUAAUUUUGAUCUUGUGGGAAACAAUUUCCCUGUCUUUUUUGUCCGUGAUGGAAUGAAAUUCCCUGACAUGGUCCAUGCGCUUAAACCUAACCCAAAGUCUCACGUCCAAGAGAGCUGGAGGAUUGUUGACUUCUUCUCCCAUCAUCCUGAAAGCUUGCACAUGUUCUCCUUCUUGUUUGAUGAUGUGGGUGUCCCACAAGAUUACAGGCACAUGGAAGGAUCUGGUGUUAACACUUACAUGCUGAUCAAUAAGGCUGGGAAAGCACAUUAUGUGAAAUUUCAUUGGAAACCCACUUGUGGGGUUAAGUGUUUAUUGGAAGAUGAGGCAAUCAAGGUUGGAGGAGCCAACCACAGCCAUGCUACUCAAGAUCUUUAUGACUCAAUUGCAGCUGGAAACUAUCCUGAGUGGAAACUCUACAUCCAGAUUAUGGAUCCCGACCAU
rnacentral:lncRNA from 1 species